CAGCCGCCGCGGGAAUACGUAGGGUGCGAGCGUUAAUCGGAAUUACUGGGCGUAAAGCGUGCGCAGGCGGUUAUAUAAGACAGAUGUGAAAUCCCCGGGCUCAACCUGGGACCUGCAUUUGUGACUGUAUAGCUAGAGUACGGUAGAGGGGGAUGGAAUUCCGCGUGUAGCAGUGAGAUGCGUAGAUAUGCGGAGGAACACCGAUGGCGAAGGCAAUCCCCUGGACCUGUACUGACGCUCAUGCACGAAAGCGUGGGGAGCAAACAGGAUUAGAGACCCCAGUAGUCCCUGUCUCUUAUAC
rnacentral:rRNA from 1 species